AACCUUUACAAAUUAAUCAAAUUAAGCGAUAAUAGUAAGUGCUAAUAUAGCUAUAGUAAUAAACGUAAUUUAGAAUAGAGGUUGCGGACUCGGGGGCAGUACCCGACGCCUCCACCAAUACUCGAUGUUAUAUUUGUCAUCCCGCGACUUGAUCGCGGGAUCCAUUAAACAAUAUGAAUACUUUUUAUUAUUUUUUUGGAUACCGUGGUCAAGCCACGGUAUGACAAUAAGGUAUGGGGGCGAAAUAGGAUCGACGUGCCUAAUAAAAAAAUUGCUUUUACUCGGGAUGAUUCCGCCGCAGGCUUUUGCCUUACGGGUCAAAACAAAGAAACGCAAACGAUAACUAUCGUUCCGCAGGUGCUCCCGCUUUAGCUGUAGCAUAAACCUGCACGGCUUGGGGGUUUGCCGGGUAACAGAAAAACCCUCAA
rnacentral:tmRNA from 1 species